CCCUUCUCUCAAUCUCAGUGACCACCACUCUCCUUUUCUUUCUCCUCCUCUGUCUUUGAGUGGUAACCAGGAAGCUUCUCUUUUAUCUUCUCCAAUAUACCUUUCUUCUCCUUCGCCUCUCCUUCAUGUUCCGAUGAGGUGGCAGCAGGUGGUGGCGGAGGAGGAGCUGCCGCCUCCUCACUCUUCUUGUGCCCUGGUAGCUUCUCCUUAAUCUUCUCCAGGAACCCCUUCUUUUCCUCACUUUCCACAACCUCAACUUUCUCCACUGGAACACUCGUGUCUUCCUUGUGAUAACCCUCUAUUUUCUCCUCGAUCUUCUUCUUCUCCUUCUUCUCCUUCUUCUUCUUCUUCUUUUUCUCCCCGUCUUCUCCUUCCUCCUCGCUUGACUGCACAUACACCAAUCAAAACCACAUUACUCUUUCAAUAAAACCCAGAUUGGAUCAGUGUUUUUUAACAACCAAUAAUGUUAAUUAAUUAGAUUUACAUAUGGACAAAAUCGCUUAAGUAUUCAUCACAAAUGAUUCAUUAACAUAAAUCUCUAUCUCACAAGACAAAACUUCAACAACUCCUAUACAUGAAGAGAUCCACAAACUUUUACAUUAAAAAAGAGUUGACAACUUGCAUAAGAAGUUACAUGUUAAGUUGGUUUGAGCUUAUUCCUUUGAUCAGCUACGAUGAACAAUUACACGCAUAUACAUAUACAUAUACACAUACAUAUAUAUCUAUAUAUUUGCAUAGAGACAAAAGGAAAAGAAAAACUUACAGAGCUAGAGCUGCUGUCAGAUCGGUGAAGCUUUUCUAAAAGGCUGUGCUUCUUCUCUCCUUCCUCUUCCUUCUUCUCCUCUGACACUGUGAUCUUUUCAAACUCGGUGACGAUCACCUCUUCCUGAGGCUUCUCUUCUUCCUUUUUCUUACCGAGAAAGUCAAAAACUCCACGAUCCUGGACCUCCACCUCACUGCUCUCUGCGGUCUCAUACUUGUUCUGGGUUUCCUCUGCCAUGAUCGGAUCACAA
rnacentral:lncRNA from 1 species